UCAAAAUAAUUCAUUGCAGGAAAUUAAAUGUGGAGGCAAUUUCUUCGCUUUGCUCAAAGAUGUCAGUCGAAUUUGUGGAGGUAGACAAUGAAUGUGACUUUGAAGAGGAUGUGGAAUUAGACGAUGCAUAUGACUCUAAAGAGGACGAAUAAGCAUGUUGCUUUUGAAAGCUUCUUGAUCCACAACCACAAAUUGUUUCCUUGUGUUCAAACUUUAAACAAAUUGAGGUAGCUUAUUUCAUCUAACAACCAAUGUUUUACCUUUUCUGCAAUGUAAUUCUUUCACAUAUAUGAACAGAGAAGUUUCACAUGCAACUUUUAAUUACCUUCUCACGAGCUGAUGAUUGAAAAUCUGAUGAAGGUGUUGAAAUUAUGAUACCUCCCUAUAACCACAGGGUUCUUAAGUAUGUACCCAUAUUUGUUCUUUUCCUAGUUUGGUUUGGCUUUUUCAGCUAUAUUUUCUGUGGAUAAUUUAUCCUUGCUUUUAUGUUUCCCAGCUGGAGGUAUGCAUGUCGAUUGCCUCGCUUUUAUUUGAUAUGUAAUAAAUUCGUAGAGAUCCUUGUUGAUCUGUUGUUUCAAAUAUAUCAAAGUUGAUAGCCUCGUUUCUCUUUGCAGAUAUCUUUGUUAUUCUGUAAACAAUUAGAUGGAAUGUGUGUUGGAAGGUCAUAAACUAUGGUUCUCAUCCUGGAACUUUACAGCAUAAUCAACUCAUUAUUGCAACUGUGAAGAAGAUGCUCUGUAUUGAUAUGCUUAUGUUCAAUUUGUUUUCCAGGAAAGGUGUGCUUCUUAGUGGAUUUAAAAAGGUCAUGGAGAAGUUAUAAAAUGGAGAAAGACAGAAUUUCACUUGUGCAGUGGCAUUAAAAGUUGGUGCAGCAAAAUUUUCAUCCAUUACAGGAGAAGAGAACUACUUAGCUUCUCCAAGGUAUCAUAAACCAUCUUAUGGUUAAGGCUAAAUUUAUAAGUAGUGGCGUGUAGGGCAUAUAAUAAAUCUCACGUGGGUCAGAAAUCAUGUAAAUGGACUUUUGUGUGAUCUUCAUAUUACUACCUACAUUUUCUAGAGAUGGUUAUGCCAAGGUGAUUAUAUGUAAUAGAAGCCCUUCCAUUCACCCCAAGUUAUACUAAAGGACUCAUUUAGGUUUUAAGAUUGACAAGAAGUGCUAAGGGAGACGUCUCAUACAACUGGCUUUUUGCCGGUUUCAAAUGUUGCCGAGAGGAUUUAAAGUUUGAGAAACUUACAGAAAUUUUUCUGCACAAGGACCUUUGCCUAAUAUAUAUAUAUAUAUGGUGGAAAGCUUUGGCUCAUUGGACAGCUGUACAAAUGAAGACCAAAUAAACGAAAAUGAAGAUGGCUUUUAAUGUCAACGAAAUUCCCUUUCACAAUCUUGGGAUGGUGAACUGUGCAUUCAUCUGUGGAGAGACAGAAACUUGAAGAUUAGUGAGGGAAGUCGUUG
rnacentral:lncRNA from 1 species